AGUUUAGUAAUUUAUAUAAAAUAUCUACCUUGAAAGUAGAAAAAAGAAUAUCCUUUAAGCUU
rnacentral:tRNA from 1 species